rnacentral:rRNA from 1 species
AACGAACGCUGGCGGCAUGCCUAACACAUGCAAGUCGAACGAGACCUUCGGGUCGAGUGGCGCACGGGUGCGUAACGCGUGGGAACCUGCCCUUAGGUUCGGAAUAACUCCCCGAAAGGGGUGCUAAUACCGGAUAAUGUCUUCGGACCAAAGAUUUAUCGCCUUUGGAUGGGCCCGCGUUGGAUUAGCUAGUUGGUAGGGUAAAAGCCUACCAAGGCGACGAUCCAGAGCUGGUCUGAGAGGCUGAUCAGCCACACUGAGACUGAGACACGGCCCAGACUCCUGCGGGAGGCAGCAGUGGGGAAUAUUGGCCAAUGGGCGAAAGCCUGAUCCCGCACUGCCGCGUGAGUGAUGAAGGCCUUAGGGUUGUAAAGCUCUUUUACCCGGGAUCAUAAUGACAGUACCGGGAGAAUAAGCUCCGGCUAACUCCGUG